ACGGGAGGCAGCAGUGAGGAAUAUUGGUCAAUGGAGGCAACUCUGAACUAGCCAAGUCGCGUGAAGGAUGAAGGUUCUAUGGAUUGUAAACUUCUUUUGUCUGAGGGUAAAGUGCAGUACGUGUACUGUUUUGCAAGUAUCAGACGAAUAAGCAUCGGCUAACUCCGUGCCAGCAGCCGCGGUAAUACGGAGGAUGCGAGCGUUAUCCGGAUUUAUUGGGUUUAAAGGGUGCGUAGGCGGAAUGUUAAGUCAGUGGUAAAAGCGUGUGGCUCAACCAUACCAAGCCGUUGAUACUGGCGUUCUUGAGUGUAAACGAGGUAGGCGGAAUAUGACGUGUAGCGGUGAAAUGCUUAGAUAUGUCAUAGAACCCCGAUUGCGAAGGCAGCUUACCAGCAUACAACUGACGCUGAGGCACGAAAGCGUGGGUAUCAAACAGGAUUAGAUACCCUGGUA
rnacentral:rRNA from 1 species